rnacentral:rRNA from 1 species
UACGGGGGGGGCAAGCGUUGUUCGGAAUUACUGGGCGUAAAGGGCUCGUAGGCGGCCAACUAAGUCAGACGUGAAAUCCCUCGGCUUAACCGGGGAACUGCGUCUGAUACUGGAGGGCUUGAGUGCGGGAGAGGGAUGUGGAAUUCCAGGUGUAGCGGUGAAAUGCGUAGAUAUCUGGAGGAACACCGGUGGCGAAGGCGGCAUCCUGGGACCGACACUGACGCUGAGGCGCGAAAGCUAGGGUAGGCAAACGGG